rnacentral:rRNA from 1 species
GGAGGACGUGUCGGCAUAUUGGGGCGUAAGGGCUCGCAGGCGGUUUCUUAAGUCUGAUGUGAAAGCCCCCGGCUCAACCGGGGAGGGUCAUUGGAAACUGGGGAACUUGAGUGCAGAAGAGGAGAGUGGAAUUCCACGUGUAGCGGUGAAAUGCGUAGAGAUGUGGAGGAACACCAGUGGCGAAGGCGACUCUCUGGUCUGUAACUGACGCUGAGGAGCGAAAGCGUGGGGAGCGAACAGGAUUAGAUACCCUGGUAGUCCACGCCGUAAACGAUGAGUGCUAAGUGUUAGGGGGUUUCCGCCCCUUAGUGCUGCAGCUAACGCAUUAAGCACUCCGCCUGGGGAGUACGGUCGCAAGACUGAAACUCAAAGGAAUUGACGGGGGCCCGCACAAGCGGUGGAGCAUGUGGUUUAAUUCGAAGCAACGCGAAGAACCUUACCAGGUCUUGACAUCCUCUGACAAUCCUAGAGAUAGGACGUCCCCUUCGGGGGCAGAGUGACAGGUGGUGCAUGGUUGUCGUCAGCUCGUGUCGUGAGAUGUUGGGUUAAGUCCCGCAACGAGCGCAACCCUUGAUCUUAGUUGCCAGCAUUCAGUUGGGCACUCUAAGGUGACUGCCGGUGACAAACCGGAGGAAGGUGGGGAUGACGUCAAAUCAUCAUGCCCCUUAUGACCUGGGCUACACACGUGCUACAAUGGACAGAACAAAGGGCAGCGAAACCGCGAGGUUAAGCCAAUCCCACAAAUCUGUUCUCAGUUCGGAUCGCAGUCUGCAACUCGACUGCGUGAAGCUGGAAUCGCUAGUAAUCGCGGAUCAGCAUGCCGCGGUGGAAUACGUUCCCGGGCCUUGUACACACCGCCCGUCACACCACGAGAGUUUGUAACACCCGAAGUCGGUGAGGUAACCUUUUAGGAGCCAGCCGCCGAAGGUGGGACAGAUGAUUGGGGUGAAGUCGUACAGGGGGAAUACCCCUUAAAAGGGGG